rnacentral:misc_RNA from 1 species
GUGAAUCAUCGAAUUUUUGAACGCAAAUUGCGCCUUUUUCGGAAGGCAUGUGUGUUUGAGUGCACCAUUUAACAAAUAAUGUGCAGCGUUUUGUGUUGCACACGUUGAUGAGCUUUCCAAUAAUUUUAAAUUUUGGGUGGCGCAUAAUGAACAGCGUGAAAGUUUUUUUCAGUUCGAGUGUAGUUAAAUCUUUGCUUGGGAUGUGAAAAGCGUAAUCUCUCAAUGUGUGUGGCAAUUUUUUCUUAUC